ACUUUCCCUCCUCAUAAAUUCCGUUGCACAAGUGACAAAGUACGGGCCUGGACUUAUGAAAGCUCCCAGCACAGUGUACAGGAGCCGUGUUCCUUGGAGGAAGAAAAGUCAGAGGGGAAUGGGUGCAUUGAGCCUUGUGUGACAACCCAUCAUGAAAAAAAGGAGUUGUACUCUCCUUUAAAAAGGAAGCCGAUUGAAUCCAGGAAGCAUGGUGCCUGUGAUGAAAAGAAGAAACCCAGGGAGGAGAACGUGUCAGAGAUUGAUGUCUGCAAAGCUGAUGGGGUGGGC